AACACUUCUACGCAUUAUGAUGACAGCAGGACGUUUCCAAAAUAGCUUUCUGCAUUCUGCAGCCUGUCGUUAGACAACGCAACUGCGGCUGUUAUCGUGCUCAGGAAUUUUCCUGGUGAAAAACAACGAGGUAAAACCGAGCGAAGUUGAGGAGCCGGUGUGUCUCCCCACUAGUAAAGUUCCUGUCUUCCAUGAUGCAGGUCACCAGGAGCAGCAAUCUGGCGACGCGCCUUUCGACUUGGCCGCGCAUUCAAAGGUAGGAAACAGAGAGUUUCUACUGCGGGCCAGGGGUCCGGAAGAGGACCGAAGUUGGGGUUCAGUUUGUGGCUGCUGUUUCUGAACGAGAUCUGAAGCGGGAACCUUACACUCCAUCCUGCAUGUUUUGUAGCUUGUCAAGGAAGACACGCGCCACAGAUCCGCGCAAUGCGGAGUUCACUACCCUUGCCUGUCUACUUGGACUUUUUCGAGAGGGUGUAUGCAGUACGGCGCUUCUCGUGCUUUGCUCAUACGGCAUUCGCAAACAGUCGAGGGAGGCGCAUACAUGGGGAUUCCGACUGGCAGUCCCUGAGUUGCCGUGAUACUAGUCAGCUGGAAAAUAGGUGAAGUCCAAACAUCCGCCGGUAAAAAUGCAGUGGAGGAAAACGUUUGAUAGGGUGCCGAGGAACGUGAGUUUGCAUGCGGCAAAAUCAUCACCGCGAGGUGAAACGUUUGGCACUAAAAGCUUGCUCGCGGUUCGGUUCGUUUGACGUGUUUGCAUAGAGUGCAUGUGAGAACUUUGCUUUAGUCUUUUGGAGCUGGCGUUCAAGCAAACCAUUUCUGUCUUCAAGAGACUCUCGGCUGUUCACCUGCUGCAAGGCAGAGGAGGAGCUUGACUGCCUGCCUCUUUCAGACUCCACCAGUUUUCCCGUGCUUGCGAGGAAGAAACCGUCUCGUUCCUUUUCCCGGGCUUUCUAUCCACGCCCUCUCCGUUUCUUGGUGCACAAGCGGGUGUCAGGCAAACGCUUUUGGAUGUCCAAUUCCGGCAGACACGUCUUUAUUUUAGAAAUCGAUGCCACGAAGCGCGCCUGAGGGGGAACAGCGGGGCCCCUCUCUCUGGCGCGAAAGGCGGUCACACGAGGGUGGUUCUGCGCUAAUUUUUCAGAUCGAUGCGUCAAAGUACUCCUGGAGAGGCUGAACAGGUAUGGAUGCAAAAGCGAGAGUUCGGUUUUCCCUCGAUCUCCGGGACGUAAACGCAAACCUGAGAAAUUUCACGAGGAAAGGAGAAAAUCCAGGUGGGUUGAGACCGACUGGAAAUCCCGUCCAAAAGUGCCAGGCGCUGCGGUUUGGGAUCUGGGUUUGAAGUCACCGUAAGCUGAUGAGUUUCUUUUCUCCACAAGUUUGGCGGGACGGACAACGCCACAGGGGCGUGAAUAUUGACGAACGUGCAGCCGACGAUGGGGAAACAGGCACUGUUCUGGACGGAAAACGACUUGGCCGUAGAACUGCUCGGAUAACGUGUUUUCUCGCGCCGCUCCGUGUGUGGUUUUGAGGCUCCGUGGUCUUUGUUCCGCGGCGUACCAGACGCUUUUCGCCUCGUUCUUUUACUGCAACUCCAAUUUUCAGCUCUGGCGGUUCGGGAGCAGAAUGGCCAACGCACGCAUUGCGCAAGGCAGUUAUCUCGUGUUCUGGUUUAUUCGCUGUCCCAUCUGGGCCGCGCUGAUUGAGUACUCGAUUUACCAGAGAACAAACGGGAGAGAAACAGUCGCUCGCUGUCAGGUUCGCUGUUCGCC
rnacentral:lncRNA from 1 species